GUCGUGGGGCAGCAUGACUGUAGCAAUACAGUUGAUGGCGACCGGCAAACGGGUGCGGAACACGUACACAACCUUCCUUUUAGUGGAGAAUAGCCCAGGGAAACUUGGAUUAAUACUCCGUAACAUAUAGAAGUGGCAUCACUUUUAUAUUAAAGCAGCAAUGCGCUAGAAGAUGGGUGUGCGGCUGAUUAGAUAGUUGGCGGGGUAACGGCCCACCAAGUCGACGAUCAGUAACUGGUGUGAGAGCACGACCAGUCACACGGGCACUGAGACACGGGCCCGACUCCUACGGGAGGCAGCAGUAAGGAAUAUUGGUCAAUGGACGCAAGUCUGAACCAGCCAUGCCGCGUGGAGGAUGAAGGUCCUCUGGAUUGUAAACUUCUUUUAUCUGGGAAGAAAUCCAUUUUUUCUAAAAUGGUUGACGGUACCAGAUGAAUAAGCACCGGCUAACUCCGUGCCAGCAGCCGCGGUAAUACGGAGGGUGCAAGCGUUAUCCGGAUUCACUGGGUUUAAAGGGUGCGUAGGUGGGCAAGUAAGUCAGUGGUGAAAUCUCCGGGCUUAACCCGGAAACUGCCAUUGAUACUAUUUGUCUUGAAUACUGUGGAGGUCAGCGGAAUAUGUCAUGUAGCGGUGAAAUGCUUAGAUAUGACAUAGAACACCAAUUGCGAAGGCAGCUGGCUACACAAAUAUUGACACUGAGGCACGAAAGCGUGGGGAUCAAACAGGAUUAGAUACCCUGGUAGUCCACGCCCUAAACUAUGGAUACUCGACAUUUGCGAUAAACUGCAAGUGUCUGAGCGAAAGCAUUAAGUA
rnacentral:rRNA from 1 species